GUAACCUACGGGAGGCAGCAGUGAGGAAUAUUGGUCAAUGGGAGAGAUCCUGAACCAGCCAAGCCGCGUGAGGGAAGACGGCCCUAUGGAUUGUAAACCUCUUUUGUCGGGGAGCAAAGAGACCACGUGUGGUCAAAAGCGAGAGUACCCGAAGAAAAAGCAUCGGCUAACUCCGUGCCAGCAGCCGCGGUAAUACGGAGGAUGCGAGCGUUAUCCGGAUUUAUUGGGUUUAAAGGGUGCGUAGGCGGGACGGUAAGUCAGCGGUAAAAAUGCGGAGCUCAACUCCGUCGAGCCGUUGAAACUGU
rnacentral:rRNA from 1 species